GACGAACGCUGGCGGCGUGCUUAACACAUGCAAGUCGAACGGAAAGGCCCCCUUGUGGGGUACUCGAUUGGCGAACGGGUGAGUAACACGUGAGUAACCUACCCUUGACUUUGGGAUAACUUCAGGAAACUGGGGCUAAUACCGGAUAGGAGCUCCUGCUGCAUGGUGGGGGUUGGAAAGGUUCGGCGGUUGGGGAUGGACUCGCGGCUUAUCAGCUUGUUGGUGGGGUAGUGGCUCACCAAGGCUUUGACGGGUAGCCGGCCUGAGAGGGUGACCGGCCACAUUGGGACUGAGAUACGGCGCAGACUCCUACGGGAGGCAGCAGUGGGGAAUAUUGCAGAAUGGGCGGAAGCCUGAUGCAGCAACGCCGCGUGCGGGAUGACGGCCUUCGGGUUGUAAACCGCUUUCGCCUGUGACGAAGCGUGAGUGACGGUAAUGGGUAAAGAAGCACCGGCUAACUACGUG
rnacentral:rRNA from 1 species